GACGAAGUGGACUAAACAAACAAGGCGAUUGUCAUGGAUAUACAGAGCAGAGCACUUUAAUUUUCUGCGGUCAAAACGAGGAAGUCGUGAUAUGAAUAUUGAUGACACCCCAAAGCCCCCUUGAGUCUGUCACGCAGAUAGGGGAAUGUGUUGACAGGAAUUUAUCUGAAAUAUGAAUGAAAACAAUUAUGGGAACACGGGCCCGAAGGUUGAGGAGUAGAUAGGCCUGCAUUCAGGCUGGCGACACAUACAGGACGUGACGGUUUUUAGCCUACAGCCUAAGAUGAUUUUAAUUGCUAGUGGGAGCAGCAACAUCAAAAAUAUAUCUCGAACGUGGUGGUCCAAUGUUGGCGUGGUUUGUGUCUGGACUACCUCAAAAACAUAUCUCAAACGUGGUGGUCCAGUGUAGGUAGUAUUCAAUAAACCGGACCACCACGUUUGAGAUAUCUUUCUCAGGUAGUUCAGCCACAAACCACGACAGCUUAUUGUAGAAUACUACCUACACUGGCCCACCACGUUUGAGAUAUCUUUUUAGGUAGUUCAGACCCUGUGUUCAGACACAAACUACGGUAGCUUAAUUUGGAAGACAUGUCUUUAUUGUUGGGGCGUGUGCAAGAACUAGCCCUAACUAGUAGCCAGCCAAUGGGCGUAAUUCCUCUAUUAAGCACAGACAAGUGAAAUGGCGCUCUGCCCUAUCUUAUCUUUCCUCUCAUUUGUGAUCAAACUGUGAUUAACGAUAACUUUGAACAAAUUUCCAACUAAUCCAGCUUAGUGUUCUCCAUC